UGGGCAACUGUUAGUCCCGAGCAGACACAGGAUACUUGACAGCACGACACCAGUAGUGACCGGCUCUCAUGCCCCCCGCAUACCCGCUGGCACAGGCGAUGCAUGUUUGGUGUUACUGGCCUUGGCAUCUUGGGCUGUAAAGUCUUCAGACUUGCAAUCUUCAGAUGGCUGGAAAACAGCCCUACUGGCAAACAUAGGCACUGUCUCUGCUAUCAGAUAUUUGCGAAGGAGGUCAAGACGGAACUUUGAGGAACCCCAAGAACCAUCUGGAGAAGGUUCCUGAUGCCAACAAUGGUAUCACAGUUCACAAGCUGAACAACCCCAGGUACAAUGGAUGGAGAGAGGCAGCAGUUUGGAAAAUAUGACAGCCUAAUGUAUGCUGAUAUGAAUUUGUAGCUCUUGUCCAUUCAGUAAGCUUACACAUCUUUCCCGGUUGAAUGCCUAAAAAAGUAGACGCAGUAGAAUUCUGUGUUCAUCAAAGUAUCCAAGAGGGAGAUCAAUCACUUUUGAGGCAGGAGAUGUGCAUUCGGAAGUUACGGCAAGUGAUUCAGACGGCUAUGUUUUCAUGGAUGUGUGGACACUUAUUGCAAUAGGAGUUUGUAAAGUUUAAAGGAUCGAAAACGACAUAUGAGGCCAACUGUUGCCGAAAUGAGAAGGGUCUUGUGUGGUAGAUUGUUAGAAUAAAUCUGGAAUUCCUAGAAUGUGCGCUAUUGUGUUGGAUCCUUGGGAAUGACAUACCACUUCAACCAUCACCUUGGAUUCACAGUAGGACUUCCAUGUAGAGAUUUGACUUAUGUAUUUCCAUGUUUACACCAUCAUGGUGUGUGACAUAAUAAAACCUGGAGGGUUUGCUCCUUGC